rnacentral:rRNA from 1 species
AUUGAACGCUGGCGGAAUGCUUUACACAUGCAAGUCGAACGGCAGCACGGGGGCGAACCCUCGGUGGCGAGUGGCGAACGGGUGAGUAACAACAUCGGAACGUGCCCACGUCGUGGGGGAGUAACGUAGCGAAAGACUACGCUAAUACCGCAUACGAACUCUGGUUGUAAAGACGGGGGAGUCGCAAGACCUCGCGCGAUUGGAGCGGCCGAUGGCAGAUUAGGUAGUUGGUGGGGUAAA